rnacentral:rRNA from 1 species
CCUACGGGAGGCUGCAGUGGGGAAUAUUGGACAAUGGGGGGAACCCUGAUCCAGCCAUGCCGCGUGUGUGAAGAAGGCCCUCGGGUUGUAAAGCACUUUCAGUGAGGAAGAACGCCUGGUGGUUAAUACCCAUCAGGAAAGACAUCACUCACAGAAGAAGCACCGGCUAACUCCGUGCCAGCAGCCGCGGUAAUACGGAGGGUGCGAGCGUUAAUCGGAAUUACUGGGCGUAAAGCGCGCGUAGGUGGCUUGAUAAGCCGGUUGUGAAAGCCCCGGGCUCAACCUGGGAACGGCAUCCGGAACUGUCAAGCUAGAGUGCAGGAGAGGAAGGUAGAAUUCCCGGUGUAGCGGUGAAAUGCGUAGAGAUCGGGAGGAAUACCAGUGGCGAAGGCGGCCUUCUGGACUGACACUGACACUGAGGUGCGAAAGCGUGGGUAGCAAACAGGAUUAGAUACCCGAGUAGUC